rnacentral:rRNA from 1 species
UACGGAGGAUGCAAGCGUUAUCCGGAAUGAUUGGGCGUAAAGCGUCCGCAGGUGGCUGUGUAAGUCUGCUGUCAAAGAGCAAAGCUCAACUUUGUAAAGGCAGUGGAAACUACACGGCUAGAGUGCGUUCGGGGCAGAGGGAAUUCCUGGUGUAGCGGUGAAAUGCGCAGAUAUCAGGAGGAACACCGGUGGCGAAGGCGGGUCUCUGGACAGUUCCUGACGCUGAGGCACGAAGGUCAGGGGAGCAAACGGG